AGUUAGACUUAAUUGGGUUAAAAAAUCUAAGUUAGACUUGGUUCUAAAUCUUAAAUAAUUUGGGAUUGAUAGUCUAUUCAAAAUUAAUUCGAAUCAGAUUUGUAUUGAAUUUGAAUUGAUCUAUAUUUGGAUUAGAUCCUUAGAGUCCACUUUUGCUAGGAUUCUCUCUCCUCAUGGCUGAUCAAAAGUGGAUGGGGUGCUACUUGUUGCUGCCCCACACUUAUAUUGA
rnacentral:lncRNA from 1 species